rnacentral:tRNA from 1 species
GCGGGUGUAGCUCAACUGGCAGAGCGCUGGUCUUCCAAACCCGAGGUUGAGGGUUCGAUCCCCUCCUCCCGCU